rnacentral:rRNA from 1 species
AGAGUUUGAUCCUGGCUCAGGACGAACGCUGGCGGCGUGCUUAACACAUGCAAGUCGAACGGAAAGGUCUCUUCGGAGAUACUCGAGUGGCGAACGGGUGAGUAACACGUGGGUGAUCUGCCCUGCACUUCGGGAUAAGCCUGGGAAACUGGGUCUAAUACCGGAUAGGACCACGGGAUGCAUGUCUUGUGGUGGAAAGCGCUUUAGCGGUGUGGGAUGAGCCCGCGGCCUAUCAGCUUGUUGGUGGGGUGACGGCCUACCAAGGCGACGACGGGUAGCCGGCCUGAGAGGGUGUCCGGCCACACUGGGACUGAGAUACGGCCCAGACUCCUACGGGAGGCAGCAGUGGGGAAUAUUGCACAAUGGGCGCAAGCCUGAUGCAGCGACGCCGCGUGGGGGAUGACGGCCUUCGGGUUGUAAACCUCUUUCACCAUCGACGAAGGUCCGGGUUCUCUCGGAUUGACGGUAGGUGGAGAAGAAGCACCGGCCAACUACGUGCCAGCAGCCGCGGUAAUACGUAGGGUGCGAGCGUUGUCCGGAAUUACUGGGCGUAAAGAGCUCGUAGGUGGUUUGUCGCGUUGUUCGUGAAAUCUCACGGCUUAACUGUGAGCGUGCGGGCGAUACGGGCAGACUAGAGUACUGCAGGGGAGACUGGAAUUCCUGGUGUAGCGGUGGAAUGCGCAGAUAUCAGGAGGAACACCGGUGGCGAAGGCGGGUCUCUGGGCAGUAACUGACGCUGAGGAGCGAAAGCGUGGGGAGCGAACAGGAUUAGAUACCCUGGUAGUCCACGCCGUAAACGGUGGGUACUAGGUGUGGGUUUCCUUCCUUGGGAUCCGUGCCGUAGCUAACGCAUUAAGUACCCCGCCUGGGGAGUACGGCCGCAAGGCUGAAACUCAAAGGAAUUGACGGGGGCCCGCACAAGCGGUGGAGCAUGUGGUUUAAUUCGAAGCAACGCGAAGAACCUUACCAGGUCUUGACAUCCUCUGAAAACCCUAGAGAUAGGGCUUCUCCUUCGGGAGCAGAGUGACAGGUGGUGCAUGGUUGUCGUCAGCUCGUGUCGUGAGAUGUUGGGUUAAGUCCCGCAACGAGCGCAACCCUUGUCUCAUGUUGCCAGCACGUAAUGGUGGGGACUCGUGAGAGACUGCCGGGGUCAACUCGGAGGAAGGUGGGGAUGACGUCAAGUCAUCAUGCCCCUUAUGUCCAGGGCUUCACACAUGCUACAAUGGCCGGUACAAAGGGCUGCGAUGCCGCGAGGUUAAGCGAAUCCUUAAAAGCCGGUCUCAGUUCGGAUCGGGGUCUGCAACUCGACCCCGUGAAGUCGGAGUCGCUAGUAAUCGCAGAUCAGCAACGCUGCGGUGAAUACGUUCCCGGGCCUUGUACACACCGCCCGUCACGUCAUGAAAGUCGGUAACACCCGAAGCCAGUGGCCUAACCCUCGGGAGGGAGCUGUCGAAGGUGGGAUCGGCGAUUGGGACGAAGUCGUAACAAGGUAGCCGUACCGGAAGGUGCGGCUGGAUCACCU